UUGUAUCCACUGAGAGUAUCCACUGAGAGAGGAGAGAGCCUUGGUGAAUCGGGAUUCACACAUCCGGUGAGGGCACAUUUUCUGGAAGAUAUAUUGGACAAGUCAGGCUAUGGGUUGACCUCAAGCAACUAACUUGAUGAUUAUGGCCAAGAUAAAGUCUGGAAAACUCAAAGACAGCUUCUGCCUAGAAAAAGGAAAAAAUCAAAUUACUACACUUGUUGAGGUGUUGAGGAUGCCCUGAAAAAUUCAAGCUUUGAAUAUGGUUCCAGAACGCGAGAUUCUCUAGCAAAUUGGAAUCCUGAUUGCAUUUUGUUCAACCUCAUAGAGGCUGUUCUGUGCCACAUAUGUCGCAAAGAACGACCUGGUGCUGUUUUAGUUUUGAUGACCGAUAUUAGUUGCUUGAAGGAUCAACUGAAAGCACAUCCAUUGUUAGGUGAUCCAAAUAGGGUUUUGCUGCUUGCAUGCCAUGGUUCUAUGGCUACUGCUGAGCAGAGGCUAAUAUUUGAGAAGCCACCUCCUAAUGUCCGGAAGGUAGUCCUAGCCACAAACAUGGCAGAAGCAAGUAUUACAAUAAAUGAUAUCAUUUUUGUUGUGGAUUGUGGCAAAGCAAAGGAGACCGCAUACGAUGCGUUAAACAAUACCCCCUGCUUACUCCCCUCAUGGAUUUCAAAAGCUUCCGCUCGUCAGAACAGGUGGUCUAGACACUGAGGAAUUGGCCAUUACGAAUAGUACCUUCCAUGAGAGGCUUGGUUUCAGACUACCUGUAAUCAAAAUCCCAGUAACUACAUAUUGCAAUGGCCAGUGAUGGCAGCGGAAGAACAGGCGGUGAUGCUACACAUAGUUCUUCGCCACUUGUCAUGGUGAUCCCAGUAACUACAUAUUGCAAUGGCCAGUGAUGGCAGCGGAAGAACAGGCGGUGAUGCUACACAUAGUUCUUCGCCACUUAUCAUGGUGAAGAUAUCUUUUGAAGCUAGAUUGGGGUACGCCAUUUGAUAGAAAAUGGAUUGCAGCCUUCCUAUAAAGGUGCAAUUCGUUAGCUUCUCAUGCUUGCUUGAGCUAUGGUAAUAAUGGGUGCUCAAAUUUUUGGUGUCUUCUAUAGUUCUAUUGAUUACCUUGAUUGAAAUGUCUCAGCUCCUUGUCGUCAUCAUGGAUAUAAGGUGCGGUUCUGCUGCCCACUUAUGUGCAGAGAUCAUGGACGAGAGCUGCUGAAAAUCAUGGGCACGAGUGCAUCAGAUUUUUUUUCCUUGCUAUAUUUCUUCAACGCGAUAAAAGGAUAGGCGCGGAGCUCCUAUGGGUUAAUUGAUCCAGAUUCCUCCACCUGAUCCACGCAACUAAGGAGAGUGAUGAGUCAAUAUAAUUCGCUGGUGUUUCUUUUGGUCCACAGAUUUUCCUUGUAUAUGUUAUCGUGAUGAACUUGUGUAUCAAGCUAAUCUUUCUAUGAUCUUUUUCUUAUUUGCUUCUUUGUAUGAUCAUAUUUUUCCUUUGCUUCACAUGAUGAUUGAUGGUCAUGAUUUAUAUGGCACUUGCAUUCAUAUUGAUGAAUAGCAUGUAUAUGUUAA